AGUCCCCACUGGGACACCGUUUCAAACCUGCACCCUCUUUGCUCCUGGGGUGAUCACCAUGAAAGGGAAGGAAGGGAUGAGAACCCCAAUGAACCGCGGAUGAAUCAGGGACCUUGGGCAGCGUGGCUGAUGUUGAAGCUCGGGGAGGGUUCCAAGCUGGUCUUGCCACCAACCUCUUUAGCCUCUUUAGUCGGCUGCCACUGCUGCUCCCUCCGCAGGCUAAUUCCAGGGAGGAAAGGCAGAAACCUCUUGGAAGGGGCAGCUGCUCAUCGACGGGGCGGCUGGUCUGGCAGGAUGGUUGCCGUGUUGCAGCAUCUUUAUCCCGGAGGUUCUGAGACCCGCUGAGAGCUGGCAUGAAGGUGACGUUCGGAGGUCAACUUCCUAAGGCCCGCGUCCCUGCUGGGCCGUGGCCCGGGAUUUGGGGCCCCGCCAUCUGACCCCCUCAGCCUCACUCUCCCGGCUCUGAAAUGAAGCAGGAGGCUCCCCGAGAGCCUGGGUACCCCGUCCCCUCCAGUGGAUCAAGCCCCCGGUAGAGCUGACGUCGUGAUGGCCGAGGAGGAGAGCACCCUCGUCGUCUUCUCUGUUUUAACUAAAGUGAGUCGAUGGACAAUGUUCUGUCAGGGUCAGGCCUACUGCAGAGUGAUGUGACCUCUGCUCACGUCAUGAAAUGAUCCCUGGGGUAAGUCUGGUCACCUCAGCUGCUUAGACUUACUAGUAGCAAAGGCGGCAGGAGUGUUACUGACCAGAGUCCUUAGGCUGUAAAUCUCACCCUCGUGUCUUACUGAUUUUAUAACUGGAGGUUUGAAGAAACCAGCCCUUCUUCUUCCUCCUCGUCCUCUUCCUCCUCUUGUCUCUUCUCCUUCUUCAUCUUCUGUUUUUUUGACUGUGCCCACGGCACGCUGAAGUUCUGUGGCCAGGGAUCGAACGCACGCCACAGCAGUGGCAACACCCAAUCCAUAACCUGCUGAGCCACCACGGAGCUCUGAAAGAACCAUCUUCUGAUGACAAGGAGGCCUAUUUAUUCUUCUCCAGAGGAACUUUCCUAAUGAGGAACUCAGAGCAUCAUAGGGGUAGUGUCUUUGUGGCUUUACAGGACCACGGGCACGGGCAGGGUACUAUUAAGGCAGCUCAUCAUGUCGCCGUCACCAGAAAACAGAGGCAUAUCCUGUUUGGAGGGAGUUCAGGGAAAGCACUCGGGGUCAGCAGAGUGUGGGGUCUUAACGCUGAUGCUGAUGUCACCCGUGGAUGGAGAACACGCAUCUGCCGUGCUUUGUACGCUGAUCACCUGAUGACACCUACUCGCUGGGUUUUUGACAGCCAAGCAGCUGGCUGGCUGGUGGCUGGUGCAUGGCUGUCGUGCCAUCACCUAACCUCCCCCUGGGCCAAUGGGUGGCCUUCAGGGGACUGUGAACUCCCUGGACCUGGGUCCCGAGGUCUGUGUGGGUGUCACACACUUGCACUUAUUGCACAGAGCGCCCAGCCUUUUUCUCAAAUUCUCUGCAACCUGGAAAAGUGGAGGAGCCCCUCUCUGAGGGCGCAGCUCUGGAAUGUGCCAUCAGCGAGGGUCACCUCCUGCCGCAAUCAUUAACAAGCCCCGUUGCUGUUCUGAAUAAGAGGAGAACCCUCUCUCUUGGGAGGAAGAGGGCACCCAAGAAAGGGGGUCCUUCCUUGGUUAGGCCCUCUAUUGUCUCAUGAGGAAAUCUCUUGGAAUUCCAGAGUCACAGAGACAGCUCAAGUAUACAGUGGAAUAUUAGUCAGCCAGAAAGAAGAAUGAAAUUCUGCCAUUUGCAACAACGUGGAUGGACCUGGAUGGUAUUAUGCUGAGUGCAAGAAGUCAGAGAAAGACAAAUACUCUAUGUGAUCACUUCUGUGUGGACUCUAAAAAAUAAAACAAACCAGUGAAUAUAAGAAAAC
ensembl:lncRNA